GCUAAAUAAUUUCUGCUCAGCCAUGUCGCCGGCUCCAGAUGCAGCCCCGGCUCCUGCGUCGAUCUCCCUGUUUGACCUCAGCGCGGAUGCUCCGGUGUUUCAGGGCCUGAGCCUGGCUCAGGGGAGAGAGAAAGCCCAGAAAGAAAGCUACUCCAGGGUCCUAUGGAUAUUUCAGAGAAGUUAUUUUGUUCAACUUGUGACCAGACCUUCCAGAACCACCAAGAACAGAGGGAACAUUAUAAGCUUGACUGGCAUCGGUUUAACCUAAAGCAACGUCUCAAGGACAAGCCUCUCCUGUCUGCCCUGGACUUUGAAAAGCAGAGUUCCACAGGAGAUCUUUCCAGCAUCUCGGGAUCAGAAGACUCAGACUCAGCCAGUGAGGAGGACUUGCAGACACUGGAUCGGGAGAGGGCUACAUUUGAGAAGUUGAGCCGACCCCCAGGCUUUUACCCUCAUCGAGUUCUUUUCCAGAAUGCCCAGGGCCAGUUUCUUUAUGCCUACCGCUGUGUCCUAGGCCCUCAUCAGGCAAGUGACAGUACAGGUUGCAUGGCUAACCCCAGCCUUUUGUACACCCAGCCUAGAUUUCCCUUAGCCUAGUGCAUUUCUCCCUGCUUCUCUUCCUU
rnacentral:sRNA from 1 species